AUCGCUUCUUGGCCUUUUGGCUAAGAUCAAGUGUACUAUAACAAAGUAUCUGAGGCUCUGUAUGUCAUAAGUAAAAGGAUUUAACUUAAAAUUUUGAACCUGAAAGUCCAAACAACAUGAUGCUAGCUGUGGUACAGACCUUUUGGCUGAUGGCAGAUGCCAUCAUGGUGGGUACACAU
ensembl:snRNA U2 U2 spliceosomal RNA